AUGGGGACAGGGCCAAAAGCACUGGCAGGGUCGGCAUUGCCACCAGAACUACGUCUGGCCUGCCCCUUUGCUCAGAAAUCCACACCCACUUUGAGGCCCUCGACCAAUCAGGUUUCUCCUGCCCAUCUCCCCUUGUUCCCUUUGGGGCUGGGGGCGGCCGUGACCCUGCUGGAGCCCGGGGGCACCUCCAGCCCCCCGGGGGCUCCCUGCGCCUCCUCUGCCGAGCAUCCGGGUUCGAUUUUGGGAACGCUGACAUGGGCUGGGUCCGCCAGAGACCUGGGCAGGGGCUGGAAUUCAUUGCCAGUAUCAACACUGGUGGCAGCACCAACUACGGGCCCUCGGUGCAGGGCCGGUUCACGAUCUCCAGGGACAACGGGCAGAGCUCGGUGACGCUGACCAUGAACAGCCUCAAGGACGAGGAUUCUGCCACCUAUUUCUGUGCCAAAUACUCUUAUGGUUCUGCUGGUUGGAAUGCUAAUGGUGCUGGAUAUAUUGACUCCGCCGGCCAUGACCCCAUCCCCAACCAGCAUCACCAUCAGCACCGUCACCAGACCCGGGCGGGCCCCGGAAUUCUCUGCCUCAAUCAGCAGCGCUGGCAGCCCCUGGGACACGAGCUCGGCUCAGGAUCUGCAGGGACCACGGGCAGAGCUCGGUGA